UACGUAGGGUGCAAGCGUUGUCCGGAUUUAUUGGGCGUAAAGAGCUCGUAGGCGGUUUGUCGCGUCGGAUGUGAAAACCCAGGGCUCAACCCUGGGCCUGCAUUCGAUACGGGCAGACUAGAGUAUGGCAGGGGAGACUGGACAUUCCUGGUGUAGCGGUGAAAUGCGCAGAUAUCAGGAGGAACACCGGUGGCGAAGGCGGGUCUCUGGGCCAAAACUGACGCUGGAGGAAGCGAAAGCGUGGGGAGCGAACAGG
rnacentral:rRNA from 1 species